GCACUGCUAAGGAGUCCCGUAAUAGGACGAAAUGGCCGUCCAGUGC
rnacentral:hammerhead_ribozyme from 1 species